GAGGGGCAGCGGGUUGAAAGCUUGCUUUCAAUGCCGGCGACCGGCGCACGGGUGCGUAACGCGUAUCAAACCUGCCUCAUACUCGGGGAUAGCCUUGCGAAAGUAAGAUUAAUACCCUAUGUUGUUGCUUUCUCGCAUGGGAGAGCAACCAAAGAUUCAUCGGUAUGAGAUGGUGAUGCGUCCGAUUAGGUAGUAGGCGGGGUAACAGCCCGCCUAGCCUUCGAUCGGUAGGGGUUCUGAGAGGAAGGUCCCCCACACUGGAACUGAGACACGGUCCAGACUCCUACGGGAGGCAGCAGUGAGGAAUAUUGGUCAAUGGGCGAGAGCCUGAACCAGCCAAGUAGCGUGCAGGAUGACGGCCCUCCGGGUUGUAAACUGCUUUUAGUUGGGAAUAAAAAAAGGGACUUGUCCCUUCUUGUAUGUACCUUCAGAAAAAGGACCGGCUAAUUCCGUGCCAGCAGCCGCGGUAAUACGGAAGGUCCAGGCGUUAUCCGGAUUUAUUGGGUUUAAAGGGAGCGUAGGCGGAUUGUUAAGUCAGCGGUCAAAGGGUGUGGCUCAACCAUGCAUUGCCGUUGAAACUGGCGAUCUUGAGUGCAGACAGGGAUGCCGGAAUUCGUGGUGUAGCGGUGAAAUGCUUAGAUAUCACGAAGAACUCCGAUCGCGAAGGCAGGUGUCCGGGCUGCAACUGACGCUGAGGCUCGAAAGUGUGGGUAUCAAACAGGAUUAGAUACCCUGGUAGUCCACACAGUAAACGAUGUAUACUCGCGGUUUGCGAUAGAUUGUAAGCCGCCAAGCGA
rnacentral:rRNA from 1 species